rnacentral:rRNA from 1 species
UAAACNAUGGNCNNUANGUGGGGGGGGGUCAUCAACUCCNUCCGUGCNGCAGNUAACGCAUUAAGUNCCCCCCCCUGGGGAGUACGNCCGCAANGCUNAAANUCAAANGNAUUGACGGGGNCCCNCACAAGCAGCGGAGCAUGUGGCUUAAUUCGAAGCAACGCGAAGAACCUUACCAGGGCUUGACAUGCAGGGUAAAGCGGCGGAAACGUCGUGUCCGAGAGGGCCCUGCACAGGUGGUGCAUGGCUGUCGUCAGCUCGUGUCGUGAGAUGUUGGGUUAAGUCCCGCAACGAGCGCAACCCCCGUCGUAUGUUGCCAGCAUUAAGUUGGGGACUCAUACGAGACUGCCGGCGUCAAGCCGGAGGAAGGUGGGGAUGACGUCAAGUCAUCAUGCCCCUUAUGUCCUGGGCUGCACACGUGCUACAAUGGUCGGUACAACGGGCAGCGAUACCGCGAGGUGGAGCGAAUCCCUUAAAGCCGGCCCCAGUUCGGAUCGGAGGCUGCAACUCGCCUCCGUGAAGUCGGAGUUGCUAGUAAUCGCGGAUCAGCAUGCCGCGGUGGAUACGUUCCCGGGCCUUGUACACACCGCCCGUCACACCACCCGAGUCGUCCGCACCCGAAGUCGCUGGCCCAACCCGCAAGGGAGGGAGGCGCCGAAGGUGUAGAGGGUAAGGGGGGUGAAGUCGUAACAANGUAACCAAGCCGNANUCUGCAGAUAUCCNUNCCACUGGCGGNGANUCGAGCAUGCNUNUAGAGGCCCAUUCG